rnacentral:rRNA from 1 species
GAUGAACGCUGGCGGCGUGCUUAACACAUGCAAGUCGAACGAUGAAGCCCAGCUUGCUGGGUGGAUUAGUGGCGAACGGGUGAGUAACACGUGAGUAACCUGCCCUUAACUCUGGGAUAAGCCUGGGAAACUGGGUCUAAUACCGGAUAGGAGCGUCCACCGCAUGGUGGGUGUUGGAAAGAUUUAUCGGUUUUGGAUGGACUCGCGGCCUAUCAGCUUGUUGGUGAGUUAAUGGCUCUCCAAGGCGACGACGGGUAGCCGGCCUGAGAGGGUGACCGGCCACACUGGGACUGAGACACGGCCCAGACUCCUACGGGAGGCAGCAGUGGGGAAUAUUGCACAAUGGGCGAAAGCCUGAUGCAGCGACGCCGCGUGAGGGAUGACGGCCUUCGGGUUGUAAACCUCUUUCAGUAGGGAAGAAGCGAAAGUGACGGUACCUGCAGAAGAAGCACCGGCUAACUACGUG